GGUCCUGCGUGAAGGUAUUCAUGCUGUCUUCUUCUACAACGAGAUCUAAUCAAAUGAAGCAGAUUUAAAAGAAACUAGCAUCUCGAUGAUCUGGAAGGCAUGGGAUUUGCAUCAACCCUAUGUGGAUACUUAUAGAGGCUAGGCAUGUGUGUGGCUUCAAACAGAACCAACAAUCAAUUCAGAUCCAGCUUGCAAGUGGAUAGCGAUCUCUGGUAAGUUUUUAAUCCAUCUUAAUUUUUGAUUUUUAGAUCUAUAAAUCCAAAUUA
rnacentral:lncRNA from 1 species